UGACAGGGAAAAAACGUUGUAUUUCCUACUAAAAAUUAAAAAUUUUAAGCUUGUAACUUUAAGAAAUUAGUACAAUAAGUGCUUAGUUUCUCUCAUUCUGCCGUUGGCCAUCUUGUCAAUAGGGAAAAUAAAUCAAUACUAUACAGCAAAAGAUAGACAGAAAGAAUGGGACGAAUUAUGCCAACGAUUAAAUUCAGAAGGGACUGGGCCACAAAAAGAUGAAAAAAAUGGAGAAAAGUAAGUUAUAGUUUUGAAUAUUUGCACAUGUAUAUUCCUUCAUUUGCAUGCACAGUUAUUCCAAUUAUAUAAUCUAUUAUAGACUUGGACAGACUGGAAGUCUUCUGUGAAGACUAAAGCGGCCAAACUAAUGAAAAAAUGAGGCAAACAGAUAGUGGUUCCAUAACUACAGAAAAAUUGACACCUUUGGAAGAGCGACUCCUUUCUUUAUAUGGAUCUAUGUGGAUUAAUGGAAUGCCAUUUGUGGCAGAAAGUUCAGUUGGUACAUUGGUAAAUAGUUUGGUUUUUGCUUUUAAAUAUCAUGAAUUGAUACAAUUAUUACAAAAUAAAUGCAAACAUUUCAGACAAAAUAACAAGUAAAAGAAUUUAAAAAUUAAAAUAUUGACAAUAUUGAGAUAGUAUCUG
rnacentral:lncRNA from 1 species